GCGUGCCAAAAACUAAUCUGGGAUUAGCGUUUUCUGGUAACUGUUUUUAAUUGCAAUUAAGUUUUUGUUUUAUGAAAUGUUAGCUAGUUUACAUGUCUCUUCUGUUGACCGCACCAUUUAGUUGAAUUUACUGCUCACUUUCACUGUUUAUCUGUAAGAAGUUUUGGCCAAACAGGCACUCAUCGGUUUCUGUUUUGCAUCUGAAAGAACUGUGCUGGUCUUAUCAAAAAGCUUAACGUGAUGGUUCCAGUGACAGCUAUUUCUCUCAAUAACUAAUUAUUCUAGAGGAUUUUGUUGCAAGUAGUAUUAUUAUUUCCCCUUUAUGUAUUGUACAAUUAGUACUGAAUAUCUUUUAUUCUUCUCAAACUAUAGCCAUAUAUGCAUUGUACAAAAAUUGGAUUUAAAAUUCAUUUUGUCGUAUUAGAACUUGUUGGCAACCGUUGACUAGGCAAAUAUAAUAGGUUAGAGUCUACACCUUUAAAUAGAUAGAUCAUUUUCCUGAUUUUUCUGAAACGUUUACCAAUCACUUUUACCUCUAGUUCCCUAUUGGUCAUGCAUCCUUGGAUAGGCAAAAAUAUUAAUCUAGCCCUAGGUUUAUAUGCAGCCUAUAGUGGAAAUUUUAUUAAUUGCCUUAGUUAUUAAAAAAAAAAAAAAAAAAAAAAAAAAAAAAAAAAAAAAAAAAAAAAAAAGAGGUGAAGAAGCAUGGGCAGUCUCAACAAGACUACAAGGACAUAUAUUGACACUAACACUCAUUGGGCACUCCCUUACAUGCGUUUGAUACUUCUCUAACAAUAUCGACAAUUCUGUGACUAGAAGGUAUGCUUAUGAGAUAUUCCCAUAAUCUCCUAAGAAUUUAUUCUUGACACCUGACCACCUAAUGUUGAAGUUCCAAAUUUAAGAUCCACUAUCUAAAAACAAGUCUUAAAAUGUAUUUGAAUGCUGUACAACAUUGUUCUUGGGUGGUGAAAAUGGUUAGUAUGAAAAUCUAUAGUAUUUUUUUUAUUUUUAUUUUUCCAUUUUCGGGUGGUGAAAAACAAAAUUUUUUCGAAAAGUGUGCCAAAAAAAUUAUAUUCUUGUAAUGUAAAAAAAUACCAAGAAGUGAUUAACUGAAUUUUUUUUUUUAUUAGUGACCGUGGGUAUUCAGGCCAACUUACACGCACCUUAUCUAAUUCCAUGGGGUCCUGAAAUUUAGAACUGGGUACUCACCUAAGUGGUUCUGAGAGGACUCGAACUGGUAAUUAUUGGGGAGUAAACCCAACGCCUGACCAUUGAGCUAUCACUGAGGGUUAGUGAUUAACUGAAUUUGGAUAAAGAACUGAUAGCACAAGUGUUAUAGAGGAAGAGAAGUUAUAGUUACUAUUUAUAUAAGCUAAGAUAUGGACAUGGAAUUUUUAAGACCAAUAGGUAAAAUAUCAGGGAAAAGUUAUUGCAUAUACACUUACAUGUGUGUAUAACGUAUAACGUUUGUGUGUAUCCAUCAAAAUCUCCACACACCUCAUAUCCUAAUUUUUAAUCUGUGGUCAUGUUAUAGCACAUUUGUAUCCCCUCUUGUCUCCAUGCUUCUUUAGAAAGUUAGGAAAACCAAGGUGGCACCCCUUGCUAGCAUGGCUCUUGCAAAAGGAUGUAUUACAGUGAAUCGGUAAUGCACCUUUUAGAACUGAAACAAAUUCAUCAUAACAUACUAAAGACAAAUGCAUGGAAGCAAAUGAUAUAACCAUCUAACUUUGAGAACUCCAGCUAGCACCUGGAUGCUUUGAUUUGCAUACCAUUACAGAAGAAGUGAGCUUCGAACUUUUUCAAUUUUGAAACAAUUUAUCGAUACGGAACAGACAUAGAAGCAAAUAAAAUUACCAAUUACUUUUGCUAAUCUAGUCAAGGCUUGGGAUGUAGUAUACCAUGUUAAUGUAACAAGUGACUGACAUCCUGUUAUGGGUGUAACCUAAAUUAUCAAGUCCCUGUGAGAAAAUGCAAUUCUCAAAGUAAAUUCUACUGUAACUAUGUGUUAGUUUGAAAUUUUUUAAAGCACGUGAUUGAACAAUUUGACAUUUUAUUUAUGCAACCUUUUAAAUUCGAAUAUUUCUCUGGGUUAUCCCCCUCCCCUUGCUCUCCCCCUCCCUGCCAUGCGUGUUCUCACCUACAUUAGUAGUACAUACCAAAAAAUGGAGGGGACAUGUUUCAUUGAGACAACUGUCAAGCUGGCCAUUUUUUAUUGGUGUCUGAUUAUGGUAGGAAGAUAAAUAAUUAAAUGUGCAUCUGAAGAGAGAAAAAAAUACGGUUAGUAAUUAUGGUAUGAAAGGUAAGCAAUCAAGAAUGGAAUAUCUGUUUCUUAUAAUGUAAAGCGAAGAAUGUAUUAUGAUUAAGGUUUAGUGAUUGACUGUCCUAUAUAUAGUAGCUAGUAAGUAGUAAUCACGCUAGAAAAUCAGACCAUUUUCAAAUUUCGGUGUACAAUGCGGAAAAAUCUGAAAGCUAAUAGAUCUCAGAAAACCAACUCACUUUGAUCCUAUCCUUGAUUGAUUUACAACUCUUUUUGAAUCACAUUUGUUAAACGGGAUCAAAAUGUGUGUUUGACUUCUUUAAAUUUGCUGACCACUUCCGUUUCAUUUGUAUCUUGCAGAUGUAGUAUAUUACUUGGUUUCCUUCUAUUUCAUCUCCGUAUAGAUGGAACAAAAAAUGAAUUAAACAAUCUCAUUUGUAUUUUUUUGUAAAAUAAAUUUACUUCAUUACGUUUGACUUUAAUGGGCUUUGGCUUCUCGAGUCACUAGUCAUUUGAAACAGAGCAUUAACAUCUCUAUGUAUUUGGCAUGUAAGGAUUUGGGGAACUGGGAAACACCUACGAAGCUUCCUUGACCUCUCUCUUGAUAAAUAGGCUAUGUGGGCUAUCGAACCGGCCAUGCAAUGGCUUCUGUCUGGGAAGAAACUAAUACAUUAUCUUGGCCGUAGACAUGUAUAUGGCUAAUCUGUUAUCUUGCUAUUAUUUUUUUGUUUUAACAUGAAUUUGGAAGUUAUUUAUCAUUUUCUUUCCAUUGUUAAACAGCUUACUUUUUAUUACCGAUCAUUCUAUUUUUUUGCUGAAAUAUUAAGAGUGAAACAUACAUGGAAUAUCUUAUACUUCUGUAUAUAUUUUAUUUCCACAGGAGAAUCCUGAGAACUGUGUAACAACUUCUGUUAAGUACCAAAUGGCAAUAGUGGUUCACACUAGAGACCCACCUUUUAAUAAAUCGAGUAGUUUUCACAGAGUUCUCAUUUCCCAAUUCUUGGCCAGUCGUGUCAAUUUAUGUGAUUUCAUGGAAAAUGACACAGGCAAACUUAUCCGGUUAUCCCCAACAUUUAUACAAUGUAAAUACAUUGCUAUUAACAAUACUAGCCUGGUGGGAAAAUGGGUCUAUAUUAAAUUUUAUUAACUCAUGUAGCCAACCUCUAAUUUAUUGGGAAUAAGCAGCAGUAUGUUGGAUCCAGAUUCCACAGUAUAGCCUAAAUUUUGUUGUUGCUAGAGUACAUAGUAUAAUGUUUGAUCAUUUGACUAUCUUAACCCCAUGAUACAUCACUUUCUUCCAGGUACUUCGAUUUUCUUUGGCGGACUCCUAUUCUACACAGUGUUGUAUGGGUAUCUCAGAUGAGCUUUCUAACUGAGCAGCUUUAUUGCUCUUUUAAUCACAGCUAAAUACUCAAAAAAGUUGGAUUCACUGUUGUGUUACCUCAAAGCACUGUGGCGCCUAUUAGGGGCUUAGUUUCAAUACGCUUCAACUCCUGAAGCACUUAAGAUCCUGUUCCCAAGGAAAGGAGGAUUCCGAGGCUGAUAUACUGAUGUGGGCUGACAAAAAAACGUAGCAUUUAUACAGAAUAUCUCAAAUGGAAAAUUUUAAGGACAAGAACCUUUCAAGUGCAUUAGUCUUUCUUGGGCUCCUCAGUGCAGUUGAGCCAUGGGUUGUUAUUUGGAAUCUCGUUACCAAGGGUAAAAGUGAUGAGGAGAAGAAGUUGAAUUCUGCUUAUAUAAUCAGUGUUGCCAGGAAGAUUGGCUGCUCCAUUUUCUUGCGGCCUGAAGAUAUCAUGGAGGGAACCCUAAAGAUGAUCCUUACUCUUAUGAGAAGUAUAAUGUAUUGGAGCCUUCAGCAACCUAUGGACGAGCAAUUGUCCCCAUUGCCUGUUGUUUCUAGUCAUGAGGCAUCACUCGAACCUUCAUGUUUUCUCUUUUGGGGUGGAAAUUGUGGGCUAUACUGCAGCCUGCAAUUGCCAAUUAACCUAGACAUCCACCUUGAAGACAAGGUGGAUUGCCGAGGGGUUCAAGUAAUGAUAGGACACCGUCCAACUUAGUGUACCAUAUGCAGGAAAAGGCUGAGGAGGGCAUGAAAGGAAAUUGCCAAAGGGGAAAUUCAACAAACAAAUGAGGGGCUAACAGAAAUGGUUGAAGGGUUUGUUACAGAACACAUUAUAAAUGUAGGAACCAGGGGAGAAGAGAGCAUGCGGAGAUACAGAAAAAGAUAUUAGCCUCUCGAAUGCCAAAUGACCUAAUUUCUAUUUUCUGUUGCUGAGUAUAAUUCUAUAAGUUUACAUACUGUUAUUUUACUACAACUUAAUUGUAUUUCUAGUACUCAAACUCUUCGUUCCAGUCAGCUUGCUUUCACAUAUGUUGUUCUUGUGCUCAUUUGAAUCUGCCUUUGAUACAGGGUCCUACCACAUUUAGCAUAUGAAGUACGGUGGAAGAAUCUUUAAAUCUUUGGAAACACUCAACCCUUCAGAGAAUCAUCAUUCUGGAAAAGGCUGGAUUGACGUUUCUAUUGGUGGUAUGUUUUCACAAGUAAAAAAAGCCUUCUACAGUAACUAUGUUAAUCCUUUUGAAUACGUCUGUUCUUGAAUGCUUCACCUUCUUGCUAGUUUGAGAUUUUUACCCUGGAAGUAUUAAACUUUGCUGUCUCGAUCUGGCUAUAAUAAUAGCAUUCAUGGUUUCUAUGGGGAUUGGAGAAUAAUACUUUUCUGUCAUUCAUUAAACGAGGAUUAUGAGAAUCAGCCAACUAUACAG
rnacentral:lncRNA from 1 species